GAUGAACGCUGGCGGCGUGCCUAAUACAUGCAAGUCGAGCGAAUGGAUUAAGAGCUUGCUCUUAUGAAGUUAGCGGCGGACGGGUGAGUAACACGUGGGUAACCUGCUCAUAAGACUGGGAUAACUCCGGGAAACCGGGGCUAAUACCGGAUAACAUUUUGAACCGCAUGGUUCGAAAUUGAAAGGCGGCUUCGGCUGUCACUUAUGGAUGGACCCGCGUCGCAUUAGCUAGUUGGUGAGGUAACGGCUCACCAAGGCAACGAUGCGGAGCCGACCUGAGAGGGUGAUCGGCCACACUGGGACUGAGACACGGCCCAGACUCCUACGGGAGGCAGCAGUAGGGAAUCUUCCGCAAUGGACGAAAGUCUGACGGAGCAACGCCGCGUGAGUGAUGAAGGCUUUCGGGUCGUAAAACUCUGUUGUUAGGGAAGAACAAGUGCUAGUUGAAUAAGCUGGCACCUUGACGGUACCUAACCAGAAAGCCACGGCUAACUACGUGCCAGCCGCCGCCGUAA
rnacentral:rRNA from 1 species